rnacentral:rRNA from 7 species
UCGAACGAUGAACUGGAGCUUGCUCCAGGAAUUAGUGGCGAACGGGUGAGUAACACGUGAGUAACCUGCCCUUGACUCUGGGAUAAGCGCUGGAAACGGCGUCUAAUACCGGAUACGAGCUUCAGCCGCAUGGCUAGGAGUUGGAAAGAAUUUCGGUCAAGGAUGGACUCGCGGCCUAUCAGCUAGUUGGUGAGGUAAUGGCUCACCAAGGCGACGACGGGUAGCCGGCCUGAGAGGGUGACCGGCCACACUGGGACUGAGACACGGCCCAGACUCCUACGGGAGGCAGCAGUGGGGAAUAUUGCACAAUGGGCGCAAGCCUGAUGCAGCAACGCCGCGUGAGGGAUGACGGCCUUCGGGUUGUAAACCUCUUUUAGUAGGGAAGAAGCGAAAGUGACGGUACCUGCAGAAAAAGCACCGGCUAACUACGUGCCAGCAGCCGCGGUAAUACGUAGGGUGCAAGCGUUGUCCGGAAUUAUUGGGCGUAAAGAGCUCGUAGGCGGUUUGUCGCGUCUGCUGUGAAAUCUGGGGGCUCAACCCCCAGCCUGCAGUGGGUACGGGCAGACUAGAGUGCGGUAGGGGAGAUUGGAAUUCCUGGUGUAGCGGUGGAAUGCGCAGAUAUCAGGAGGAACACCGAUGGCGAAGGCAGAUCUCUGGGCCGUAACUGACGCUGAGGAGCGAAAGCAUGGGGAGCGAACAGGAUUAGAUACCCUGGUAGUCCAUGCCGUAAACGUUGGGAACUAGAUGUGGGGGCCAUUCCACGGUCUCCGUGUCGCAGCUAACGCAUUAAGUUCCCCGCCU